rnacentral:tmRNA from 1 species
GGGAGUGCAAAGGUUUCGACGGGGUUAUCGGGUCAUAGGUAGCAGGUCAGGCUGGUCGCUGUGAAAGACCGACUCAUCGUUUAGAUGGAAACAGAAAUUACGCUUUAGCUGCUUAAUUGUCAGCUCACCCCUCUUCGCUUCUUCUGUAUGAGCGUGGAAUCCGGGUGUCACCCAAGUACAGAUUACUUUUUGUGAUUUCUCUAAGCAAGGAGGAAAUAUAGAGGAUAGCUUUUGUUAGCCCUGUUUGCGGAGUAACAUCUGCGAAAUAUAGUAGCAAACUAAGCUUGUAGAGGCUUAUGGUUACUUUAAUUUCGGACGCGGGUUCGAUUCCCGCCACUUCCACCA